ACGACUCUCGGCAACGGAUAUCUCGGCUCUCGCAUCGAUGAAGAACGUAGCGAAAUGCGAUACCUGGUGUGAAUUACAGAAUCCCGCGAACCAUCGAGUCUUUGAACGCAAGUUGCGCCCGAGGCCACUCGGCCGAGGGCACGCCUGCCUGGGCGUCACGC
rnacentral:rRNA from 2 species